GGCCGGGCCGGGCCAGCUCGCUUCGCCCGACGGCGUUAUCUCCGAGCUCGGGCUAUCUAGGUUAUUGAAGCCAAAGCCGCUGAUACGAAUUCUGUGCUUCCGUGCCCAUGAUACUGGUAUCAUUUUUCUGAAAACAGUGCUUUUUGAUAUCAAAGUGUUACCGGCACUCCUGGCUUCUGGUUCUAACUUCCCUCUAAUCUCUUUUUCAUUUCCUUUCUUGGUCAGUGUGGAAAUAACGCCAUUUGUUUUCCUACCCUUCUCCCCAUCCCCAGUUAGAAAAUAGUGAAAGCUUUGGCGGUAGGUCUUUCCGACCAGCCAUCUUAUGAAUCUUUUCCCCGGAGUAAAGGGCUAGCGCUCCGAGUUCUCUCCAGGCGGACCUGGCUGGGUUUGAAAAGCCUCGUGCGCGGUGCGUGAGCCGCCAGCGAAAGCAGAAAAUGUGAUUUGCAGCGUCGGGAGCACCCCGGAGACCGGGAAGUCGCAUGUGUGUUCCCUUGAUCUCUUGAUCUUUGGGAACUUAAAUAUUCUGGCUAUUUUUAUGUUAUCUGAUUUUUAAAGUUUUAUGUGCUUUCGAACUGAUAACCUAAAGUUGAAAUAUUAAAUCCCUAUUCAUAAAUUUUUCAGCCUCUGUUUUACAAAGUUUAAUUUAUUUCCUUUUUGUUUGAUUUGUGUGUGAGAGAGAGAUGAGGAAUUAAGAUUUUUUUCUUUUUUCCCACUUUUCUUUGUGUGACCAUUUUCACUCAGCUUUCUGCUUGUGAAAUGAGAGUAAAGAAAGACUAAUAAUGUGUUUUUCACCCCAAAACAAUGUCUUUUUAAAAACUUUCAGACAGCUGAUGCUGAUUUUGGAACUCUAUAAUCCCAGUGGUGUUUAUGAUUACUUAAUACAGAUUGCCUUGAAGUUGAGUGCAGAUCCAGCUUCUGAAGUUCGGUGGAUCUCCUUCAAACUAGUAAGGAAUCCUGGCCUUUUCUGUAUAUGAUUUUUAGAAAAAGAAAUAUUUAUAUUUCUUCCAUUUUUAACUCCUUUCAUUUUUCUGGGCUUAAUUUAUUAAUUUACCCAUGAGAGCAACUUUUAAAUUGUGAAAAUAGGAACUGAAUUUUAGCUUUUAUCAAUAUGCAAGAUAGCUCUUUUGUUCGGCUGUAUGCUUGAGUGACGCAAAUUGUGGGUAAACCACUUUAUGUAUGAAACCCUGUAAACAAUGGCUUAGUGUUACUUUUAAACUCGGAUUGGGUUUACCCUCCAGCAGAGCUUUGUAGAAAAGUAGCUACCAAGCGAAGACUCCAGCACAGAAAAGCCAAUCCCGUUUUAUGUGUGCUUAUACCAGCUGAAUAACGAGGGGAAAAAAAAAUCUCAUUUGAAAAUAUUGAUUUAGUGAGGUACUCUGAUGGUGUUAAAAUUGUAUAAAAGUGACAUGUUCUGAAAGGUAAUGAUUUAGUUACUAUGCGAGGGGGCGUUUUCUAAAAUUUGGAAUGUUAAGAUUAAUGUAUUUUUCUAACGCCAGUCCCUUGUAAAAUUUCAUUUUUUUGUGAAGGGAUUUUAUGUGUAUGAGUGUGUAUGGCCGUUUAUUUAAACAUCUUUUUUUCUCUGUGUUCUAAUGAUGACUGUGACAAAAAUGACUUUCUCCCGUGCUUAUAAAUUCAUUUUAAAGAUGGAAGGGUGCAUAAAAAUGUCUCGUUUCCAGGUAGAGUAGUAUUCGUAAUUCAAAGAGAUGGCAGCAUUUAAAAUUUGCUCUUUUGAGAUUUUUCCCAGGUUGUGGCAACUCUGCAGAAAUUCUGUUCCAACAGCGAAAGUGCACUGGGGUUUAAAUUUCAUCAGUGAACUCAUCCUGAGGUUCUGGCACGGUUCUAAGUGGGUCGGAAGGCGAGCUUUUGCUUUCCUCGGUCAGGGUAGCCUGGCUGGUGGGAGCAUCUCCCCUGAGCCUGUGUUUGCCACGUGCUGCUGUCAGGUGCGCCCGGCAGAGAGUCGCAGCCCUGGAGGACUGACUCGCCGGGAACUGGGGGGCCGGGGACCAAACCCCCUUAUCUCACAGGAGAGCGGGUCCAACCCAGUCGGGCAGAGUGACUUGCUCAGAGUUCCCCAGUCCUUCCAGGCGUUCAUCCUCUGGAUCGAAUUGGGCGCGCAGUGCGUACUGCGUGCCCGGCACGCUUCAGGUGCUAGAGACAGAAAGUGAACCGCCGCUCGCUUGGCACCUUCCAUCCGGUGGGGUGAGGGCCAGGCCCAGACCCUGCUUCUGUCAGGGCUGGUCAGCACUGCGCCUCAGUGAAGCCAGGAGGAAGGUGGGGUGAAGGACAGAGCAACAGACUAGGGCAGAGACCGUUUCAUCUCUUUAAGGUGAAGUUCAUGUCAGCAAAACUUGACCUGUUUAGCAACUCGGGUCACCCUCUCUCCCUGGCAUCUCGGAAAUGAGGGUGUGAUAUGUUUCGCUGGGGACCAUGGUUGUCAUUUCUUGAACACCUCUCAGUACCAGGCAUCCCAUCCUGUCUCUGAUCCUCAGAAACGAGGCCUGCCAGCAUAAAAUGUCGACCUCACAAACCACAGGCCCAACACUACAGACUUCUAAGAAGAAGAAUUCAGUGCUCUGAAUUAUUUUGUGGAGAAAGGAGCGCCAGGCACUGGAUUGGGGUCUGGGCUUUGGCUGCCGCAUGACAGGCAUGGCCCCUGCCCUCAGAACCUGAGUUCUGGCAAGCAUAAGGGAAGGAGGGAGCAGCCUCUUUGGGGUCUAGGAGCCAGCUGCAGAGGGCACGCUGGCUGUUUCCAGUCUUCCCCUGCAUCUUUUUCUUAUCUUUCUUUUUUUAAAAAUAAAAUUUCUGGAGCUAUAUAUUGAAUUUCCUGGUAUACAGGAUGUCCCCCCACCCCCAAAUUCCAUUUGGCUGAGUCUUUCAAAAAGAAAGGAAGGAGUCCAUACUGUGCCAAGGAAAAUAAGGCACAUGUAUGGGAAUUUCAAUUGUAACUCAGGACAGCAUUUUGGCAACUUCAGCAAGGAGUGAGUUCAUACAUCGGAGGCUACGUAUUAAGAAAAAAAAUCAAUCCGUCUUGCAUUCAGUCCUUGCCAAAAGUCAAUAGAGAUAUUGUUUUGCUUCAGUAACAAGCAAUUUUUUUGCUGUUGUUGUUGUCUUGAAAUUGAGAUUGUCAUGUUGUUAAAAUCAGUUGACCUAGAAGCGAUAGAAUUAUUCAGCUGGAAUCUUGUAUCCUGAGCAGAGCUUAAUUUUCUGUUAAGGGGGAAAAUUAUCUUCUGUUUGUGUUGUGAUGUGUGAGAUUUGCUGCCGAAUCAGAUGUGCUGGUAAAGACUGUCGAGACUUUCUGGUAAAUAAUCUAACCUUUAAAACGUCAGUUUAUGUCUUCAGAUUUUUCUGUCAUAUACUAUGGAUGCCUUUCCAGUGCGGAGAUAUUUUUAUGACUGUAACUUCUCUGCAAAAAGUAUGUUUAAAGCUCCCAUUUUAUUCCUUUUUUGUAACAACUGGGAUUUCUCUAAGAUUUUCCUGGUUCCCUUUGCUAUUCCCUCCUGCAGCUUUGCCAUCACUUUGGCUCUUGGUCACAGGUACGGUGGUGAGCGUUUGUGAUGGACCGCCGCACCUCCGCUGCCUGUUUAGUUGAGCCCUCCGCCUCCUCCGGUGAAUUAGUGGAGAAGCACAAGACGCCCUGUCACAGACAGAGCUCCUUGGAAGGAUCUCAAGGACUGCGUUUUGAUGCAGCUUUGCAUGUGUUCACAAUGGCCUUUCUCCCGCUUCCGGAGUGGCCCAGUACUGGGGUUUUUUUCUGUCAAGUUCGGCCCAGAUCUGCCUGAAAAAAGCCAUAUUUCUGCAGUGUUGGUUUUCUCACUGACGCUAGAAAUACGAUUUUUAAGCAUGACUAAAGACUGUGCUUGACAACAGCUCUCUGUAGACGAUGCAUGCAGGGUGAUUUAGAGCUGUUAUUCACGCAUAAUUCGUCCAGGUAGUUGGCCCUGAAUUGUGCGAUGAAUGUAUUUUAAACUGACUUGGAGAAGAGGGCACAGUUUUCCUAACCACGGCCACAAGCCGCCUCGUUCUCCAGGUUCAAGGAGCUAACAUUAAGAGCAGCUUGGAAGCUGCCAGGAGUUGGGGGUGUGGCCGGAGCCGGGCCUGCGGGGACGCGCGGCCUCUCAGCGAUGCCAAUCGUACCGAUCUCAAUAAACUGAGGCAGCGCCUG